GAGUGGCGAACGGGUGAGUAAUACAUCGGAACGUGUCCUGUAGUGGGGGAUAGCUCGGCGAAAGCCGGAUUAAUACCGCAUACGCUUACGGAGGAAAGCGGGGGAUCUUCGGACCUCGCGCUAAAGGGGCGGCCGAUGGCAGAUUAGCUAGUUGGUGGGGUAAAGGCCUACCAAGGCGACGAUCUGUAGCUGGUCUGAGAGGACGACCAGCCACACUGGGACUGAGACACGGCCCAGACUCCUACGGGAGGCAGCAGUGGGGAAUUUUGGACAAUGGGCGAAAGCCUGAUCCAGCAAUGCCGCGUGUGUGAAGAAGGCCUUCGGGUUGUAAAGCACUUUUGUCAGGGAAGAAAAGGAUUCUACUAAUACUGGAGUCUGAUGACGGUACCUGAAGAAUAAGCACCGGCUAACUACGUGCCAGCAGCCGCGGUAAUACGUAGGGUGCAAGCGUUAAUCGGAAUUACUGGGCGUAAAGCGUGCGCAGGCGGUUUGUUAAGACGGAUGUGAAAUCCCCGGGCUCAACCUGGGAACUGCAUUCGUGACUGGCAGGCUAGAGUAUGGCAGAGGGGGGUGGAAUUCCACGUGUAGCAGUGAAAUGCGUAGAGAUGUGGAGGAACACCGAUGGCGAAGGCAGCCCCCUGGGCCAAUAC
rnacentral:rRNA from 1 species